UUGCAAAUAUUCUCACUGUUCUGAUUGUGUCAUAAUCAGGGCAGGCUAAACAUUUGCUCUAGUAAGACCAUGCAUGUAUCCCCAGACCUAGAUCUUUCCCUAGGUCUGGUUUUCUAAAUGCUGGUGAUAAAC
rnacentral:snoRNA from 1 species